rnacentral:lncRNA from 1 species
AUACCUGAAAGCUGUCUUUAAAAAUGCAGAGAGCCCAGCACACGGCAGGAGUUGACAGCGGAUGAUGGAAUGGUAUUCACGGAAGGGGAGGCACGAAGAUUUGAGUGAAACGGACGCAUUUCAUGGGCCAGUGAUGCUGGCGGCACAUCCUCAACAAGCCAGCCUCACAAAGGGCUCUGCUUGGCAGGCAGACGGGAAGACUCCAGGGAAAAGGGGCCAGGCUGCACCCGGGCUGCCAGCAGCAGGCGGACCGUGACCAUGGUGGGAGGAAGCCUCCAGCCCUGGCUUCUCCUGGGGAAGACUCACCUCCUCCUGAUGGCCGAAUCCAACACCCAUGGGAUGUUUGUGGCUCCAAGAACCAGAGUCCCAUCAUUGUUAUUCCCCACCCCUGUGGAGAAAGGGAGACAAAGACUCAGACUCUGGACACCUGCACGGGUCAGUUGAAACCUGGGGACAGACCCCGGGGGCUUUGUGUGUCAGCAAUUGAAGCCAUCCCUGUGCCACCCACCACUGGCAGGGUCCCAAGUGAGAUUAAACCACAUCUUGGUCUGGCUGUGCCAGGUGAGACCUAUGGCACUGCCUGCCAUGGGAGGGGUGGAGUGGCCCGUGAGGCAGAGGCCUCAGGCACCUCUUGGGAAUUGAAGUCCACCCGUGCCCUGAGGGGCUGGAGCUGGGGAGUGCCUCUCCGAGGCUGAGAACAACCAAAUCCAGCCGCAGCUCAGAAUAAAGCCCAGGGUUGGCUUCAGGUGCAACAAGAACCAAGGGGGCCCUGGGCCCGGCACACACCCUGCAUCUGGACCAAGAACUCCGUUUUGAUCCUCCGGGCGGCCUCACUCUCAUUUUCAUUUCGGGACCCGCAGAGGGAAUCCACCUCAUCGAUGAAGAUGAUGGAGGGCUUGUGCUGCCUGGCCAGCUCAAACAGGUUCUUGACCAGCC